UUUGCACACGAGGAUGCUCCUGCCUGUUUGUGUUUACGCCCGGAGAAGCCCCUCUUGGCAAGAUGCUUGGAGGGGGCUCCAGAAGGCAGAGCUUGGAGAACAGCAUUUCAGAAGGCAGUGGGAGGGGAAGCCCUUCCUAAAGACGUCUCCUGCCUAGGAAAGACCAGCCACGCACCCUGCGCCCCAGCGGUAGGGAGCAGAUUCUACUGGUCCUUCUGUGUACCCAGCACUUCACGGAAGGAGUCCCACUGAGUCCCAUUGAGUCCUUCAGACAGUCGAUGUUACCCGCAGUUUACGCGUGAAGAGACAGGCCUGCAGAGUGUAAGUGAUUGGCCCGUGGUCACAUGUGGAAAGCGGUGAAGCCAGUCAGUACUGCUUCUUCCCCACCUAAAACCUUGCCAAGCAAGCUGAAGCUGCAUUCUUGAUCUCCCUAUAGGUGUCAGCAAGAAAGCACAGGAGUCAGAAAUGAAGCCUCCCUCCCGCCCCUGGGAAACCUGACCUACGUCCAGCUCCAAAGGCUAUUUGGACAACAUAAGCUCCCCUGCCAUGUGUCAUGCCCUGGGGACAAAGAGAAGGCCAUCUGUUUCAUCCCCGGGGGGUCCUGACAGAAAACCCUCUUGCAAAAGACAAGAAGGAAAUAUACCACCUGCUAACGGAAAUGGGAGUUGGACAGGUAGGAUUCAAGGUUUAUGUUUUUUCCUCCUUUUACCUAUUUUCCAACAUCUGUGCAGCAAGCAGGGUUGUGUUACUUUUAUUAAAAAAGUGGGGGGGGCGUCUGGCUGGCUCAGUCAGAAAGCAUGGGACUCUUGAUCUCAGGGUUGCGAAUUGGAGCCCCAUUUGGGGGUACAGAGAUUACUUAAAUAAAUACAAACUUUUACAAAAAUAAAUAAAUAAAGUUAAAAAGGGAAACAUAAAGAGCUAAUGAAAGGAUGCUUUUGUGUUGAGCUACAAUUCGCAGGACAAGCUCCCAGGCUCCUGGUUCCAGGGGACCGGGCUAGGCAUUUUGCGGGGGAAGGUCUUUGGGCCCCUCUGAUGAGCUAGCACCGCCCGGGAAUGGACAGGGAGAUCCCGGAUGGCAGUGCCUCACUACCCUGGUCUGUGAGCUUCUCCAGGCUGCUCAGACCCACCCUCUGAGUAUCUGGCGUGGCAGGGCAGCGUCCAGGGCUGGCUUCAUGGUCGGCGGCACAGGACUCUGCACUUAACAAGGGCAUCGCGAUUGGCCUAAGUCUCCGCUAUCGCUCUUCUGAAAUCCCCGUAAUUCCUCGACAAAGGCCGGGCCUUUCCAUGUUGCGUUGGGCCCUGCAAAUCAUGUAGCCAGCCCCGGCAGGAUCCCCCUUCCAACCAAGGGCUUCGGAACAAGGCAGGCCGGGGUCCCGGCACGAGCUCCCUGACUCACCUAUGCUGUGACCUGGAGCAAGUGACUUCACCUCCCUGGGACUCACGUUUCUUAAGACGAAGAACAAAAAUAACCUCAUAGUGAUGUGAUAAAAGGUGAGCACAAAGUACGUGCCCCCGAAUCGUACUGUAAUUUGUUACAUAAAGUACUUACCACGGGCCCGACACAGAGUAAUCCUCCAGCGGGGAGGACGCUGGUCUCCGGCCAGACGCCCACAGAUCAGACGCCGCUGAUGGACGGCUCUCCUCCCCACCCUGCUUCCUGUGCACGGCUCUGGAGGGCAGAGCGGGUAGGUACUCGGCUGGGAUGCGCACACAUACGCUCCGCCUCCCCCUGCCCUGACCCCUCGGAGGAACCUGCCUCUGCCUCUCUCCAGAUACAAACACCGUCCGUCCCCCCACCCCGACCCGGACCCGCGUGGUUCUUCACAACAAGCCUCCGGGGAAGGGAACGGCGUGGGCGGCCCGUGAGCGUGGGCUGGUCCCUGCCGGGAUCCAGAGGUACAUCCUGUUCUGGCGUUGCCAUGGCACAGCCGAACAUCUGCCACAACAAACGGCUGUGGUCGGCGGCUGGCAGUGGGGCCGGGGCCGGGCAAGGGAGGCUGAGGCUGAGAGCGCGUGAGACCGAGAAGGACUCGAGCCGGACAGCGAUCUGGGAAACCUCCCCGGCACCCCCGCCACCUCCCCGCGACACGUGCACGCGCAGGCGCGCACACGCAUGCGCACACUGUGUCUAGGCGGCUUCCAGGGACUCGGCCCCGUAGGGAAGAAGAAUUCCCGAUUCCCGAUUUUCUUCCUGGAGAUCCUGGGAGAAGAUCGCUGGCCAGCGCGAAGCCUUAGCAGGGCUUCCCCUCCUCUCCUCACCCCCCCUCCCCCCCCCCCCCCGCCCCCCGACUGCCCCGAAUUCUCAUCCUGGUCUAGCUCGCUCACAGCCGGGCUCCCAGAUCUGCCCUAGGCCCCAUCCCGCUCCUAAAAUGGAAUUUGCUUUCCUGGUUGUUAUUGUUGUUUUUCCUGAUUAGAAAGUAAAACACAGUCAUUGUAUCAAAAUCACAUGAUGUCCACAGCGACAAUAGCUGCGCUCCUGGUGCAUGAGCCAGCGGCUGAGCCACAUACCUCUCAUUAAAAAUACGCAUGCAUAAAAGGCCCGUGGUACUUGCUAUACAUGCAUUUGUCAAAAAAAGAAAACCAAAAAAACAAAAAAAAACAAAAAAAAAACCUGUUAAAAUCUGAUCCCGAACGUCCAGCUGGGAAUGCAGGUAUUAACACAUUUUCUACAGGAAGAAAACAGAAGCUCAGGUAGGUGACCUGCCCGAGGUCACUAGUGAGUGUCUGAUCUGGAGUUGAAUCCAGGUUAUACCAACACUAGAGAGCUUUAAGCCCAGAAUCUUCCACCACCCCCACCACCCCCGCCCUUUGCUGCUUCUCUUAGUUUCUUGAACACCUCCUCAGGUCCACUCCUUUUUUCAGGCCACACGCCCCCAGUGCUGACCUCAUUCCUGCUGGAAGCCCCAGAGGUCCAGCUGAGGUCAUGGUUCUGGUCCUAGACUUAUGAAGGCCACACCCUGUCUGGGGCCUUUGGGCCCUCCCCUGUUUGCCUGUGUUCCUGCCCUCCAAGAGCUUGAGCACUCUCCCCGGGCCUGCCCAGGGCCCAGACUUCAGCGGUACCACACCUCUUCCCUCUGCCCACUUUCUCCGCCCUGCAGUGGCAGCUAGGUUGAGAUCAUAACGUUAGUUAUAACAGGUGACAAGUCUUGAGCCACACCAGACAAGGUGGUUUUGUCAUCACCAUUGUUCAGGUGAAGAGACUCAGAAGUUGAAUGAUUUACCCGGGUAGCCCAGCCAGAAGGGAGACAGACUUCCAGAACCACCUCUUCCAGGAAGCCAUCCCUAACAGCAGCCGGCCCUCCACUCCCCACCCCCCACUCCCUACCCCCACCCGCAUCUGGAAGAGAGAAGUAUUUAGUCGGAGUACCCCACUGGCCUGUGCAAGACUGUAAGCCCCUUAGGUUGGGUGCUGAGUCAGGUUUAUUGUGGCUCACGCUGGGUCUGACAUAAUAGGCACUCAAUAACUAUUUGUUCGAUGAACGGAUAAAUAAAUAAAUGACGAAUGA